rnacentral:rRNA from 1 species
GACGAACGCUGGCGGCGUGCUUAACACAUGCAAGUCGAACGAUGAACCAGGGCUUGCCCUGGGGAUUAGUGGCGAACGGGUGAGUAACACGUGGGCAACCUGCCCCAGACACCGGGAUAACCUCUCGAAAGAGUGGCUAAUACCGGAUAUGACCACUUCGGGCAUCCGACGGUGGUGGAAAGGAUUCUGGUCUGGGAUGGGCCCGCGGCCUAUCAGCUAGUUGGUGGGGUAAUGGCCUACCAAGGCGACGACGGGUAGCCGGCCUGAGAGGGCGACCGGCCACACUGGGACUGAGACACGGCCCAGACCCCUACGGGAGGCAGCAGUGGGGAAUAUUGCGCAAUGGGCGAAAGCCUGACGCAGCGACGCCGCGUGAGGGACGAAGGUCUUCGGAUUGUAAACCUCUUUCAGCAGGGACGAAGCGAAAGUGACUGUACCUGCAGAGAAGCACCGGCUAACUACGUGCCAGCAGCCGCGGUAAU